UUUCAGGUCUAACUCUCAUACUAGAACAACAGAUUCAUUAAUAAGCUGAAAUGAAAAACGGAAGGCAUGGAUUUGACACAUUCAGACGGAGGCCCUGUCAGUUAGGGGAUACAGUACUUAUCUGAAAUUCAAAAUUUUAAGAGACGAUUCCACCCACAAAACCAAAAAGGACAUAUGCGGCUAUUGCACACUAUUGUACUCUUAAGCAAGGAGAACUAAACUUGUUAAAAACAGCUUGUCGGAAUAUCGAGUGAUUGGCUAUAGCAGUGAUGUUGUACCUUAACUGAAGAACUAGAACGAAAAUCGAGAUUAGGACUUCCUUGUGAAUUUGGCUUGAAAGCGGCUUAAUUAAAAUAAUUUUCUGGAUGUCCUUUAAAAUAUUUUUGU
rnacentral:sRNA from 1 species